CUCCAGCCAGCGGUUGUUAAGGCGACGGGAGGCUAAAAAUAAGCUUCAAAGAACCUCCCUCCCGAGGCGCUCCACGUUGUUAUGACAACCGGGCCUCGGGUCCCAGGCUCCCACGCAGCGGCCGGCUUGCGGAGGGGGGAUCCCACCCCGGGCCUACGCCUGCAGGUGACUCACCGCCUCCUGCCUCAGCCUCCCUCUGCACGGGGAGCCCCGCCCCCACGAAUCCUCGGAACCCCCCAAGCCCAACCAAAGUACUUUUUGGCCCUUUUGCCAAAGAUGUAAAAAACGCAGAGAAGUAGGAGAACCGUAGAGUGGCUGCAACGGCACAGCUCGGAGGUAGCGGCGACCUGGGUCGCGCAGGCUGACAAGUGUAUCCGGGAAGCGUCGCUAACAAUUGCUCAGGGCAGAUGCUCACUGCGCGGCGGGCGCCGGCUGGGCCAUGGACACUUGGCUUUCUGGAAUCCUCGCAACAACGCCGGGAGGAGAGCUAUCCUGAACGUUCCUCGCGGCUAGAGCAGGACUCCGAGGCUCAGAGAGGGGACGUGACUGGCCCAGGGGCACACAGCUAAGUGGCACGGACAGGACAGGAUUCAAACAGGCGCGCAGAUACCUGCGCCCCUUGGGAAACCUCGAGGCCACCUGUUAUCCUGCCCACCAGCGGCCACUGUCACGGGCUGAACUGUUUCCUCUCCAAAGUCCUAUGUCGAACCCUAUUCCCCGGCACCUGAGAACGUGACUAUGUUGGGAAACAGGGCCCCUGAAGAGGUAAUUAAGGUGAGGUCACAUGGGUGGGCCCUGGUCCAGCAUGACCUUUGUCCUCAGGAGGAGAGGAGGACACGGAGGGAGGGCGCAGCAGCGGGAGAAGCCAGCCCCGGGGAAGCGGCCCCGCCCGCAGCCUCACGCAGACUUCCAGGCUCAGCCCCACAGAAGACUCGGCCCCACCUGCCCUACGGGUUCUGGCCCCCAGGGGAGACCAACCAAGUGUGAUGGAGGAAACACACACACAUGAGGGAGGCCGCAGGACCUGGCCUCUCUCAACUUUGGCAAACAUGACACACUGGCCGUGAGCCGAUCUGGCCUCAGUUUACCCGGUGGAUCCCCAUUCCUGGAAGUGGGCGCAACGGCCUUGGUUUCCUGGAGGAGUAAAUGAAGCUCACAGGCAGGUGACCUCACCAAGACCACACAGCUCGCAGGACGGUCGGGAUCCGAAUUUACUGGCAUCUAGGACCGCACAGCCCAGGCUCUGUUUCCCCAGGAGGCCCCAUUCCAGGGCUGACACUGAGCCGGGCUCCCGUCCUACCGUGUAAGCGAUGCUUCCCCUCCCUGCCUCCCUGGGAGCCAUCCGUGUUGGCAGCCCUGUGGGUUGGGGGGAGCCUGGGUCUGUACCCCCUCAAAGGGAGCCCGAAAACACAGUCCAGAGAAGGCAUGUAAGAGCACAGAACAAUCUGCUCCUGACCGCAGGCAGGCUCUAGAGAGAGGGGCCUAGACUCAGUUCCUGUCCCCAUGCACUUGACGCACACACAGGUGCACAGCCCGCACACUCCCGACAAGCACACACAGCUCUCCAAGCACUGUGCCUGGCACAGCAGUGGGGACUCCACCAGUGCUCAGUGAAGGGCCAAAUGCCCAUGUGCAAAGAGAUGUUGGAAAACUCACCACAGACACACAAAUACACCCACACACUUCUGUGCACACAGCCAUUGCACCCCGUUCCUGGCUCCCCUUCUGCCCUGGUGCAUUCUGGGCUUUGUCUCCUAUGAUCCUGAAAGCUCAGCAAGCCUCUCCUGGGUGCAGCAGGGCCACCCCAAGUCUUUGGGAGGGGGAGGCUGGCGGAGUCUUUGAGGGGUCAAUCCUGACGCUCCACGAAUUCAGCGUGGCCCUCAGACAUGUGUGCAGCAGGAGUCCCACAGGGGCUGCAGGCUUUGGACCAGUGGCUUGUGCCCAGACAGAGUAGCCGGAGGAGGCUGGCAGCCCAGAGACACACGAGCUGAGAUUUGGGGCGCUUUGAGGUAGGAGUGCAUGUGGAGAUGUGGCUCCUCCCCAUCGAGGAAGCGCCACUCCCACUGCCAAAGUCCCAAAGGAAAGUCCCAACACGGGAUGCGCAGGUGUACGUGCUGACACGGGGUGGAGCCGGCACAGGGCAGGAGACUCGCCACCAUCAGGCAGCAGCCUAUCUAUUCUACAGCAGGAGGAACACAUGAACUUUUUAAUCAAGAUAGUGACCAAAAAACGCAGGAAAUCUCUGUGUCAGCCUCCAGAGCGGUGGCUGUUCACCUUGGGGACCCUCAGAAUCACAAGGCUGAGCGCGAAUGUGGAGUUCUGGGCUCGGCUCCCAGGGACUCCCAACCUGCAGGCAUGGCCGAGGCCAGGGAUCUGCAUUUCCCAUUUCCCACAUGAUUUGCCCACAGAUGCUCCAAACAAAUCUUGGGAACAGCAUCACUGAACAGCCUUUGCAAUCCUAUCUGGUUGGGACCAGCCCUCAGCAGCCAAGAAUCACCUGCUCAAACCCCGACACAUCAACCACCCUCACCCUGGCCCCACCGAGCCCCCAUCUGGGAAUGGCACACCGGGCCCAGCAGUGUAGACGCCUGGCUCUUGUUCCUGUCUAUCUCUACCUCUUUGUGUCCCCUCUGCACCAGAUGCACUGGCUGUUCUGGAAAGAAGGGCAGAGAGGGGUUUGUCUCAACUUGGGACAGAGCAAAAGUGAGGGGGACCAGGGGCUGGCCUGGAGGGAGAACUGCUCCUCUCUGGACCCCAGGCUGGCCUUCCCAACACACAUGCUUUUCCUUGGCUUUGACACACAAACAAGGCCCUCGGUCACUUAAUUCACUUUGCUUCUCUUCAAUCCUGCAGAGAGAGUCAGGAUUUGGUGCUACUCUUUCUUCCAGGCCUCUCUUGGCUUCCCCAGUCUCUCCUCCUAACAGAUGGAGGGAGGCCAGGCCCCGGGCUUCUGCGACUGUCUGCAACCACAGGUGCUUGGUUUUAUAGCUACUUCAUUUAUGGCACAUGGAAACCUCUCCACUUGUGGUAACCACGUAGCUUCCUAAACUGAUUUCCAGCUUUCAAAAAUAAGGCAAAUAAUAGAAUAGUCUUAGGCAAACAAUAACGUGAGUGGUACAAUUGAUGAGUCUAGGGAACAGUCUUAACUCGACGUGUGUACACGGUGCACGCAGGUUAUGCACACACACCCGGCAUCAUUCUGCACAUAUGCCGUCUCAUUCAACCCACAGUCACUGAAGAGGUAGGUGUAUAAUGGUCCCCACUUCAGAGCUGGGGACAAAGAGGCACAGAGAGGUGUAGCCCCUUGCCCAAGGUCCCCAGCCCCCAAGCACACAAAUGGUCCCUGGAAGCAGGCUGCUGUGUGCAUAUGUGACAUGUCCCCAGGUGACACUGUGGUCCCAGUGACGCACCGGAUCUGGCUGGUCUGCUCUUCAAUGGCCUCCACUGCACUCUCCACAGAGCUCAGCAGCGACUGGAUCUGAUUGGCCGUCUCCUUCAGAAGAAAGCGUGUCACAAACUGGUCCACGUGGCUCCCGCCCUCGUACACCUGUGGAGGGGAGGGAAGGGAAGGGCCCAGUUGGGAAAGGGGUCAGAGAAAGGAUUUAGGUGUGGGGUCUGGCAUAGAGCUGGGUGUGCACUUGGGGUCGGUGUCUCUGCCUCACAGGAUGAAACAGGGACCCCGGCACCUCUUGCAUCUUGGACACUGUAGGGCUCCUGCACCAGGGUGGGGGCUAUGGAUUAAGAGAUGGAGGCUGGAGCCCUGGCUUCACCACAUACUAGCUCCUGACCUCUGCGACCAUGAGAGGAGUCACUCUAGUGUCUAUCUUACAAGGUCACACAGAUGACUGGAUGACAAAACGUAGAGAAAAUGCUCAAUGUGGGGUACCUAGGGGGCUCAGUCAGUGAAGCAUCUGCCUUUGGCUCAGGUCAUGAUCUGAGAUCAUGUGUCCUGAGAUCAAGUCCCGCCUCGGGCUGUUUAGUGGGGAGUCUGCUUCUCCCUCUCCCCUUGCUCCUCCCUGUUGCUCAUGCUGUGUCAAAUAAAUAAAUAAAUCUUAAAAAAAUAAAAUGCCCAACGUAGUACCUGUCAUAGCAAAUAAUGAAUUGUAACUGCUAUGAUAAAGAUGACGACAAUGAUGAUGAUAUGGAUGAUGUCACCAUCCAUGUUGAUACUAGUGAUGAUGAUGAUGACGAUUGAUGGUGAUGAGGAGGAUGGUGGGGAUGAACAUGACAACAGCAGAUGAUGAUAAUGGUUGUGGUGGUUAUGAAGGUGAUGACAAUGACUAUGAUGGUGACAAUGAAGACAAUGACACCGAUAAUUAUGGUGAUGGUGGUGAUGGCAGUGGUGAUGAUGAUAGUGGCAGUGAUGGUGAUGAAGUUGUGGUCGUGAUGAAGAUGAUGGCAGUGACGAUGAUGGUGAUGAUAGUGGCAGUGAUAGUAAGGAUAGUGAUGGUGAUGAAGAUGACAACAGUGAUGAUGGCAGUGAUGAGGACAGUGAUGUGGUGGUGAAGACGAUGCUGGUGGGGGUGGUGGUGAUAAGCAAGCUCAUUGGUGGUGAUGUUCCUGAUGUUCUUGUUGACAGGGAUGAAGUAUGACACAACCCUGUUCCCCUCCUUCCUCCAAGAAGGAUCCCUUGGGCUCCUGACCCUUCAUGAUGCAACUCAGAGAAAUGAAAGACUCAAAAGCAACCAGAGAGGUUCAACUGGCUCCUCUCCAGAGAAUGCCGGAGACUUGGUCUCAGAAGGAGGGAGUCAGUGGAGAACCUGGGAUGGACUGAGAGAGGAGAUUCAGAGGCCACGAGGAGAGAAACUGUGGGGGAAAGAAGGAGGAAGAGAGUUUCCACAGACCUCGCUCUGUGUUGUGAGAAUCUCCCCUUCUGUCAAGAGUCUGCGACAAAGACAUUUCUCAAGGCUUUAGGAUCCAGCUGAGAUUCCCUUGGCUUCGGAAGGCUUUCAGGGGCACUGAGAAGGUUCUGACUUGGCCAGGCCACACAAGGACGCAAACGGCUGAAACCGUAGUCAAUCCAGGGAUCAAUGGGCCCUGGACAAAUGAAUGGCCAACAAGAACAAGAAGCUAUGGUCUGGUAAGAAAUUUAAAUGCAAAGAGAAAGCCUGCUAAAAGCCAGCGGGCAGAAAAAUGAGUUGAAGUAAGUGUAUUAGAAGCAGCCAGACCAGUGGCUGAGGUUGCAAAGAUCCACGAGUGUAACUGCUUAGCUGAAUUCCAAAAAGACAAGUUAUUUUCAAAGGAAUGAACACGCAGCUUUCACAGAUUUCUCCUCCACCAUGAUCGAUGCCUAAGCCAAGAGACAAACUCCACAGACUCCAGAGGGAAAGGAUCCGAUCUGGGAAUUCUGUACCCAGCGGACACACGGCUCAUCUGCAUGAGGACAGGGACACACUCAGAAAUCUGCAAACCUCGGGGCACCUGGGUGGCUCACUCAGUUAAGUGUCUGCCUUUGGCUUGGGUCAUGAUCCCAGGCUCCUGCUCAGUGGGGAGCCUGCUUCUCCCUCUCCAAUAAAUAAAAUCUUAAAAAAGGAAAGAAAUCUGCAAUUCUUUGAAAUGCUCCCAGAUGAGCACCUUUUCAGCAAACAAAGCCGAGAAUUCCCCUAAAAAUCUAGGGUGGAGUCAAAGGACUCUUGGGACGCCCAGGUGGCUCAGCGGUUGAGUGUCUGCCUUUGGCUCAGGGCGUGAUCCUGGAGUCCCGGGAUCAGGUCCCAAAUCAGGCUCUCUGCGUGGAGCCUGCUUUUCCCUCUGCCUGUGUCUCUCAUAAGUAAAUAGAUUAAAUCUUAAAAAAAGAAAAAAAAAACAAUAAAACUCUUGAUUAGGGAAGUUGUGAAAAGAAGUAGCAGUGA